AGUGAACGCUGGCGGUAGGCCUAACACAUGCAAGUCGAACGGCAGCACAGUAAGAGCUUGCUCUUACGGGUGGCGAGUGGCGGACGGGUGAGGAAUACAUCGGAAUCUACUUUUUCGUGGGGGAUAACGUAGGGAAACUUACGCUAAUACCGCAUACGACCUACGGGUGAAAGCAGGGGAUCUUCGGACCUUGCGCGAUUGAAUGAGCCAAUGUCGGAUUAGCUAGUUGGCGGGGUAAAGGCCCACCAAGGCGACGAUCCGUAGCUGGUCUGAGAGGAUGAUCAGCCACACUGGAACUGAGACACGGUCCAGACUCCUACGGGAGGCAGCAGUGGGGAAUAUUGGACAAUGGGCGCAAGCCUGAUCCAGCCAUACCGCGUGGGUGAAGAAGGCCUUCGGGUCGUAAAGCCCUUUUGUUGGGAAAGAAAAGCAGCAGGUUAAUACCCCGCUGUUCUGACGGUACCAAAAGAAUAAGCACCGGCUAACUUCGUG
rnacentral:rRNA from 1 species